UGGUGCCAGCAGCCGCGGUAAUUCCAGCUCCAAUAGUGUAUAUUAAUGUUCCUGCAGUUAUUCGAUGCUCGUAGUUGGAUUUCUGAAGUUGAGAUGGGAGGGUGGCUAUGGCCAUCGCUCGUCUCUUCCUUCAUCCACCUGUUAGCGAAUCCCGGGAUUCACUUCUCGGUUUCGGGCUCAGGUACUUUACCAUUUUUAUAUACCUAUAUUUAUAUCCUGUAGUCUUUAUCGAUUAUGUGUUAUUUCUUCUUUGAGCAAAUUAUAGUGUUUCAGGCAGGCGUGCGCCGGAAUACAUUAGCAUGGUAUAAUCGAAUUGGACCGUGUAUCCAUUAUUUGGAUUCCUCCUUAUUUGUUGGUUUAAAGGACACGGAAAUGGUUAAUAGGGAUAGUAUUUAAUCCAGGGGAGGCAUUAGUAUUUAAUUUCCAGAGGUGAAAUUCUUUGAAAUAUUAAAGACUAACUUAUGCGAAAGCAUUUAUUUUGCCAAUAAUGUUUUCAUUAAUCAUUGAACGAAAGUUAGGGGAUCAAAGACGAUCAGAUACCGUCCUAGUCUUAACCAUAAACGUUGCCGACUAGGGAUCGGAGGGCGUGCACAUUCCGCCUUCGGCACCUUACGAGAAAUCAAAGUCUUUUGGGUUCUGUGGGUAGUAUGGUCGCAAGACUGAAACUUAAAGGAAUUGACGGAAGGGCAC
rnacentral:rRNA from 1 species